GGGCUCACACAAGCGGUGGAGGAUGUGGCUUAAUUCGAGGCUACGCGAAGAACCUUAUCCUAGACUUGACAUGUUUAAGAACCUUCUGGAAACAGAGGGGUGCCCUUCGGGGAGCUUUUGCACAGGUGCUGCAUGGCUGUCGUCAGCUCGUGUCGUGAGAUGUCGGGUUAAGUCCCUUAACGAGCGAAACCCUUAUCUCUAGUUGCCAGCGGGUAAUGCCGGGGACUCUAGAGAGACUGCCGGUGUCAAACCGGAGGAAGGUGGGGAUGACGUCAAGUCCUCAUGGCCUUUAUGUCUAGGGCUGCACACGUCCUACAAUGGCACGUACAAAGGGAAGCAAGACCGUGAGGUGGAGCUAAUCCCAAAAAGCGUGCCCCAGUUCGGAUUGCAGGCUGCAACUCGCCUGCAUGAAGCCGGAAUCGCUAGUAAUCGCGGGUCAGCAUACCGCGGUGAAUGUGUUCCUGAGCCUU
rnacentral:rRNA from 1 species